AUACAUGCAAGUCGAGCGAACCGAUUAAGAGCUUGCUCUUAAGAAGUUAGCGGCGGACGGGUGAGUAACACGUAGGUAACCUGCCUAUAAGACUGGGAUAACUCCGGGAAACCGGGGCUAAUACCGGAUAACAUUUUGCACCGCAUGGUGCGAAAUUGAAAGGCGGCUUCGGCUGUCACUUAUAGAUGGACCUGCGGCGCAUUAGCUAGUUGGUGAGGUAACGGCUCACCAAGGCGACGAUGCGUAGCCGACCUGAGAGGGUGAUCGGCCACACUGGGACUGAGACACGGCCCAGACUCCUACGGGAGGCAGCAGUAGGGAAUCUUCCGCAAUGGACGAAAGUCUGACGGAGCAACGCCGCGUGAGCGAUGAAGGCCUUCGGGUCGUAAAGCUCUGUUGUUAGGGAAGAACAAGUGCUAGUUGAAUAAGCUGGCACCUUGACGGUACCUAACCAGAAAGCCACGGCUAACUACGUGCCAGCAGCCGCGGUAAUACGUAGGUGGCAAGCGUUAUCCGGAAUUAUUGGGCGUAAAGCGCGCGCAGGUGGUUUCUUAAGUCUGAUGUGAAAGCCCACGGCUCAACCGUGGAGGGUCAUUGGAAACUGGGAGACUUGAGUGCAGAAGAGGAAAGUGGAAUUCCAUGUGUAGCGGUGAAAUGCGUAGAGAUAUGGAGGAACACCAGUGGCGAAGGCGACUUUCUGGUCUGCAACUGACACUGAGGCGCGAAAGCGUGGGGAGCAAACAGGAUUAG
rnacentral:rRNA from 1 species